AGUGAACGCUGGCGGCAGGCCUAAUACAUGCAAGUCGAACGAAAGGACAGUAAGCGUUCUCCUUUACGGUUGGCGAGGGGCGGAUGGGUGACGAAUAGAUCGCAAACCUCUUUUACUGGGGUGACUUCGUAGGAAAACAUAUGCUAAUACCUCAUAUUACGAACGGCAUGAAUCAAUAGAGCAUGGGAGCUUUCCUGUCACAUAGAGACGAUGUCGGAUUAGCUAGUUGGCUAGGUAAGGGCCCACCAAGGCAACGAUCCGUAGCCGGCCUGAGAGGAUGAUCCGCCACACUGGAACUGAGACACGGUCCAGACUCCUACGGGAGGCAGCAGUAGGGAAUCUUGCACAAUGGGCGAAAGCCUGACCGAGCCAUGCCGCGUGGGUGAAGAAGGCCUUCGGGUUGUAAAACCCUGUUAUUAGGGAAGAAAAACAGUGGAAGAAAACGCGGCUGUUCUGACGGUACCCAAAGAAAAAGCCCCGGCUAACUACGUG
rnacentral:rRNA from 1 species